rnacentral:rRNA from 1 species
UACAGAGGGUGCAAGCGUUAAUCGGAAUGACUGGGCGUAAAGGGCGCGUAGGUGGAUAAUUAAGUUAACUGUGAAAGCCCCCGGCUUAACCGGGGAAAGUCGGUUGAUACUGGUUAUCUUGAGUCUGGGAGAGGGAAGUGGAAUUUCCGGUGUAGCGGUGAAAUGCGUAGAUAUCGGAAAGAACACCAGCGGCGAAGGCGGCUUCCUGGUCCAAGACUGACACUGAGGCGCGAAGGCGUGGGUAGCAAAC